CUAGUACUUUCUAAUACUUAAUCUAACACUAAAUGCACUUGUAUCAACGCUAAUCAUUACAAGUAACUGCACCUAAAUGUACCACUAAUCACUCCUAACAAUAAUUAAAUUGAUUGCUAAUCUACUAUUUCAACAAAAAUAAUUACAACAUAAUCUAUUUGUAAAGCGUAGAAGAAUUUUGGUUACCUGCAGUCGCCGGCUCGAAAAUCCGGCAGGACUUCGCCGCUCUCCCUCUCUCCCUCUUUUUUCUGGAUUUCUGGAAUUUUAGUGAUGUAAAUGAGGGGCGGGGAACCAGCCAACCCUUAUAUAAGGGUGGGACAGCCGGUCGCCCAGUAGCCGGGCGGCCAGGGCCGGUCGCCCCGCUACCGGGCGACCGGCCCCCAAGAACCUGCGCGCAAUUAUUUGAGCAAAAGUUUUUGCACAAAAACUCAUGCCGCUCUGCUGCCGGGUACAUUCCCGGGUACAUUCUGUAAAUUUUCAAAUCAAAAAUAUAUUUUUUAAAAAACGAAAAUAAAAUAAUAAAAUAAUAAAAAAAACCGCGCCAGUAGCGUGGGUUCCAGAGGAAGCCGAAGCCGGAAAGCCCCUUUCCACCGCCGCGAGGCGUAGGGUUUAGGGAGGAAUGGCUGGAGGAGGGGGAGGAGGCUGGCGCGGCGAUUCCUCGCCGGCGAUCAAGCCCAUAAGCAAGGCCGUGGUGCACCGCAUCUGCUCCGGCCAGGUCAUCUUCAACCUCUCCUCCGCCGUGAAGGAGCUCGUCGAGAACAGCCUCGACGCCGGCGCCACGUCCGUCGAGGUCAGCCUCAAGGCCUACGGCGAGGAGUGGUUCAAGGUCGCCGACAACGGCUUCGGCAUCUCGCCCGCCAACUUCCAGGCGCUUGCACUUAAGCACCACACUUCCAAGAUAUCGGAUUUCUCCGACCUUGGAUCCGUGGUCACAUUCGGAUUCCGGGGUGAAGCGCUGAGCUCGCUCUGCGCGCUGGGGAAACUGACGGUUGAGACGAGGACCAAGGAUGAGCCCGUCGGGACGCAUUUGGAGUUUGAGCACUCCGGCGUGGUGGCCAACCAGACGAAAAUCGCACGGCAGGUUGGAACCACGGUGACAGUCGAGAAGUUGUUCUCCACCUUGCCGGUCCGGAGCAAGGAGUUUAGCAGGAACAUUCGGAAAGAGUAUGGGAAAGUGAUCUCCCUGUUGAAUGCUUACGCCUUGAUUGCCAAAGGGGUCAGAUUGCUUUGCACUAAUACCGUCGGAAAAAAUUCUAAAAUGGUGGUGCUUAGGACUCAAGGAAGCAGUUCAAUGAAAGACAAUAUCAUUACCAUAUUUGGUCUGAACACUUUCAAGUGUCUUGAGCCCUUUAGUGUUACCAUCUCAGAUGGCUGCCAAGUAGAAGGCUAUCUCUCAAAACCUGGACCUGGUACCGGUCGCAAUUCAGGAGAUAGACAAUUCUUCUAUGUCAAUGGCAGACCUAUCGAUAUGCCAAAGAUCACUAAACUUGUCAAUGAGCUAUACAGAAGCUCAAAUGCAAAGCAAUAUCCUGUGGCUAUCCUGGAUUUCCGUAUUCCAACUACAUCCUAUGAUGUGAAUGUAGCACCUGACAAGAGAAAAAUUUUCUUCUCCUCUGAGAGUAUGAUUCUGCGAUCAUUACGGGAAGCUGUUGAAAAUAUGUACUCCCCUCAACAAUGCAGUUUCUUGAUCAAUCAUGUUGAAGAACCUGAAAAGGAAGAGGAUACUACUGAUGGCCAUAAUGAAGACACAAAUUUGAUAGCAGCAGACAAUGUUUCAUCUCCUGACAAUAGUGAUGACAAUGAAGAAACAGACAUUGAGGAUCAGAUUUCACCAGAGAACCAGAAAGAGCCUUCUUCAGCGACAAAGGUAGCAAUUGAAGCCACAUCUAGAGAUUUGAGCCCCCUGUCUAGAGGCACAGCUGCCCAGGCUGAUAGAUCUGUUUGGCUUCCAUCCUUCUCAUAUGAACAACCAAAAAGAUUGCCUAAAGAAGGAAAAGAUUAUGCAUCAGGAACAAAUCAUUUUAGAACUGGUCUUGCUGCAAAAUCUACCCAAUCACCUACUGUUCAAUCUUCUAUUAUGAACUUUGUAUCACUAAACAAGCGCAAGCAUGAAGAUGAUUGCAAUCUUAUUUCGGAAGCUCCAGUGCUGAGGAGAGGGACAUGCAUAGAACAAGUGAGGGAAACAAGUUUAGAAGCCAACUUUGUAUCACCAAACAAGCAGAACAACAUAGAUGAUUGCAGUCUUAUUUCUGAAGCUCCGGUGCUGAGAAGAGGUACUUGCUUAGAACAGGUGAGGAGAACAAGUUUAGAAGGAAACUUUGCUUCAUCAAAUAAGCAGAAGCACGAAGAUAAAUGCAGUAUUAUCUCUGAAACUCCAGUGUUGAGAAGAAAAGCAUGCUCAGAACAAGUGGGGAGAACAGUAGAAGCAAAUUCACCAGCUGCAUUGAGAUCAUGCACAUCUAAUAUUUCUGAGUUCAAUUUGCCUCUGGAAACAAACUCUUUAAAACAUCAUUCUCCACAAUCAUUUGUAUCUGUGAGGGCAGAUGUUUCACCACAGCAUUCAAAACCGCCUAAUACUGUGACCCAUGGUGCACAAGUAUCAAGUCCAUGUGAUGUUCACACUACAGAACCUGAUGUGGAUGUGCAGCAUGAUCGAUGCCUUCCAAUUUCUGGUGCUCCCAAUAAAUAUUCAGAAGUUGAACAUCAGAAUACAAUGAGCGAUAGUCCUUCGCUUGAUGCUCAUGAUUAUGAUGCAGGCGAUGCAGUAUGUUCUGCAUCUGUACAAUAUCCCAGUAUGCAAUUUACUGUUGCUGAGCUUAGGAGAAGAAGAAAGAAUGGUUUUAGGAUAUCACAUGCAAAUAAAGCAAAUAGUCUUGAGAAAGCUACAAGGUGCUAUAAAGCCGCAACACUGGAUAUUUAUGUACCCUCAGGUGACGAGGCAAAAUCUAAUUCAUUAGCUGCAGCCACCAAUGAAUUGGACAGGCUUUUCAGUAAAGAUGAUUUUGGAGAAAUGGAGGUUGUUGGGCAAUUUAAUCUUGGUUUUAUCAUUGGAAAGCUUAACCAGGAUCUGUUUAUUGUAGAUCAGCAUGCUGCUGAUGAGAAGUACAACUUUGAGGGCCUAUCACAAUCGACAACUUUGAACAUACAGCCUCUUCUCCAGCCACUGAGGCUUGAUCUAUCACCAGAGGAAGAAGUAGUUGUUUCUAUGAACAUGAGCACUAUCAGAAAAAAUGGUUUGUCUUGGAAGAAGAUUUGCAUGCUUCUCCUGGUAACCAUUAUCUUUUGAAGGCUGUGCCUUUCAGCAAAAAUAUUACAUUUGGUGUUCAAGAUGUAAAGGAGUUGAUCUCCAUGCUUGCUGAUAGUCAAGGAGAUUGUUCAAUAAUCAGUAGCUACAAGCUCGAUAAAAGUGAUUCUGUUUGCCCAUCGAGGGUUCGUGCUAUGUUGGCUUCGAGGGCUUGCCGAAUGUCUACUAUGAUCGGCGAUCCACUAACAAAAGUCGAGAUGAGAAAGAUACUUAAAAACCUAACAGGAUUAAGGUCCCCUUGGAAUUGUCCACAUGGGAGGCCAACAAUGCGUCACCUGGCUGAUCUGCAUGCUAUAAGAAACAAAGAUUCUGCAGGAGUAGAUGUGGCGUUGUGAUGGCAGCCCAGCUGAUUGGCGGAGGGGCUUGUGCUGUUCCAUUUUCGCCAGUCUCAGCUCCCAUGUGCCACUGGAAGAACGUUUCUAUCUGGGGCUACUGUAAAUUAUGGCCUGCGCACAUAUGCGCCGCCUGUAAAUUUUGACGCACUAUGCAACUCCUCUGAGGACUGAGGUGUUUGGCUGGCUCCACUCAGCUCUAGGCUGGAGUUUGCAGUUGGAACCAUGCCAAACAGGGCCUAAAUCUCUGGCGCUGCUUAUUUAUUUUGUAUCCAAGGAUGUAUGUACAUAUGGCGUUUUCUAUCUGCAAUGAGAGUUUGCGAACUCUGCGUCUGCGUA